AGUUGCAAGGUAUAGACCCGAAACCCGGUGAUCUAGCCAUGGGCAGGUUGAAGGUUGGGUAACACUAACUGGAGGACCGAACCGACUAAUGUUGAAAAAUUAGCGGAUGACUUGUGGCUGGGGGUGAAAGGCCAAUCAAACCGGGAGAUAGCUGGUUCUCCCCGAAAUCUAUUUAGGUAGAGCCUUGAGGUGACACCUUUGGGGGUAGAGCACUGUUUCGGCUAGGGGUCCAUCCCGGAUUACCAACCCGAUGCAAACUACGAAUACCAAAGAGUGAUACUCAGGAGACACACGGCGGGUGCUAACGUCCGUCGUGGAGAGGGAAACAACCCAGACCGCCAGCUAAGGUCCCCAAGUCUAUAUUAAGUGGGAAACGAAGUGGGAAGGCUUAGACAGCUAGGAUGUUGGCUUAGAAGCAGCCAUCAUUUAAAGAAAGCGUAAUAGCUCACUAGUCGAGUCGGCCUGCGCGGAAGAUGUAACGGGGCUGAAAUAUAGCACCGAAGCUGCGGCAUCAGGCGUAUCACUAAUACGCCUUACGAUUAACAAGCUAGAAUGGCGCGAAGCGACAUGAAAGGUUGUUCAAGCAACCCGAACGUUGAGUCGGGCAUCUUAGAGUGAGGAUUAUUAGUGAUACGCCUGUUGGGUAGGGGAGCGUUGUGUAAGCGGAAGAAGGUUGAUCGAGAGGUGGGCUGGACGUAUCACAAGUGCGAAUGCUGACAUAAGUAACGAUAAAACGGGUGAAAAACCCGUUCGCCGGAAGACCAAGGGUUCCUGUCCAACGUUAAUCGGGGCAGGGUGAGUCGGCUCCUAAGGCGAGGCUGAAAAGCGUAGUCGAUGGGAAACAGGUUAAUAUUCCUGUACUUGGUAAAGCUGCGAUGUGGGGACGGAGUAGGUUAGGUUAUCGCACUGUUGGAUAUGUGCGUUUAAGUUGGUAGGUGGGAAGUUUAGGCAAAUCCGGACUUCCUUAACACAGAGAGAUGAUGACGAGGCUCUACGGAGCUGAAGUAACUGAUACCACACUUCCAGGAAAAGCCACUAAGCGAAAGGCUUUACUAAACCGUACUGAAAACCGACACAGGUGGUCAGGUAGAGAAUACUCAGGCGCUUGAGAGAACUCGGGUGAAGGAACUAGGCAAAAUAGCACCGUAACUUCGGGAGAAGGUGCGCCGGCGUAGAUUGUAGUCCCUUGCGGAUGAAGGUUGAACCGGUCGAAGUGACCCGCUGGCUGCAACUGUUUAUUAAAAACACAGCACUCUGCAAACACGAAAGUGGACGUAUAGGGUGUGAUGCCUGCCCGGUGCUGGAAGGUUAAUUGAUGGUGUAAUCGCAAGAGAAGCACCUGAUCGAAGCCCCAGUAAACGGCGGCCGUAACUAUAACGGUCCUAAGGUAGCGAAAUUCCUUGUCGGGUAAGUUCCGACCUGCACGAAUGGCAUAAUGAUGGCCAGGCUGUCUCCACCCGAGACUCAGUGAAAUUGAAAUCGCCGUGAAGAUGCGGUGUACCCGCGGCUAGACGGAAAGACCCCGUGAACCUUUACUAUAGCUUGACACUGAACAUUGAAUUUUGAUGUGUAGGAUAGGUGGGAGACUUAGAAGUAGUCACGCCAGUGAUUAUGGAGUCGACCUUGAAAUACCACCCUUUAACGUUUGAUGUUCUAACGAAGAUGACGAAACGUGGUCUCGGACAGUGUCUGGUGGGUAGUUUGACUGGGGCGGUCUCCUCCCAAAGCGUAACGGAGGAGCACGAAGGUUUGCUAAUCACGGUCGGACAUCGUGAGGUUAGUGCAAUGGUAUAAGCAAGCUUAACUGCGAGACAGACAAGUCGAGCAGGUACGAAAGUAGGUCAUAGUGAUCCGGUGGUUCUGAAUGGAAGGGCCAUCGCUCAACGGAUAAAAGGUACUCCGGGGAUAACAGGCUGAUACCGCCCAAGAGUUCAUAUCGACGGCGGUGUUUGGCACCUCGAUGUCGGCUCAUCACAUCCUGGGGCUGAAGUAGGUCCCAAGGGUAUGGCUGUUCGCCAUUUAAAGUGGUACGCGAGCUGGGUUUAGAACGUCGUGAGACAGUUCGGUCCCUAUCUGCCGUGGGCGUAGGAGAAUUGGUUGGGGCUGCUCCUAGUACGAGAGGACCGGAGUGGACGCACCACUGGUGUUCCGGUUGUGUCGCCAGACGCAUUGCCGGGUAGCUAAGUGCGGAAGAGAUAAGUGCUGAAAGCAUCUAAGCACGAAACUUGCCAAGAGAUGAGUUCUCCCAAUCUAAGAGAUAGUAAGGGUUGUUGUAGACUACGACGUAGAUAGGUCUGGUGUGUAAGUGUAGUGAUACAUUGAGCUAACAGAUACUAAUUGCCCGAGAGGCUUAACUAUACAACGCUCAAG
rnacentral:rRNA from 1 species